rnacentral:rRNA from 1 species
UACGUAGGGGGCGAGCGUUGUCCGGAAUUACUGGGCGUAAAGGGAGCGUAGGCGGCCGAUUAAGUUGGAUGUGAAAUCCCCGGGCUUAACUUGGGUGGUGCAUCCAAUACUGGUUGGCUAGAGUACAGGAGAGGAAAGCGGAAUUCCUGGUGUAGCGGUGAAAUGCAUAGAUAUCAGGAGGAACAUCGGUGGCGAAGGCGGCUUUCUGGACUGACACUGACGCUGAGGCUCGAAAGCGUGGGGAGCAAACAGGAUUAGAUACCCUGGUAGUCCACGCUGUAAACGAUGAAUACUAGGUGUAGGGGGUGUAAACUCCCUCUGUGCCGCAGCAAACGCAAUAAGUAUUCCGCCUGGGGAGUACGGCCGCAAGGUUGAA